rnacentral:rRNA from 1 species
UAAUACAGAGGGUGCGAGCGUUGUCCGGAAUUACUGGGCGUAAAGGGCGAGUAGGUGGCUCGAUAAGUAGGAGGUGAAAUCUCACGGCUCAACCGGGAGGCUGCCUUCUAGACUGUCGAGCUCGAGCAUGGUAGAGGCAGAUGGAAUUCCCGGUGUAGCGGUGGAAUGCGUAGAGAUCGGGAAGAACACCAGUGGCGAAGGCGGUCUGCUGGGCCAUAGCUGACACUGAAUCGCGACAGCGUGGGGAGCAAACAGGAUUAGAUACCCUGGUAGUCCACGCCGUAAACGAUGGGCACUAGGCGUCGGGGGGAGCGACCCUCUCGGUGCCGUAGUUAACACUCUAAGUGCCCCGCCUGGGGAGUACGGCCGCAAGGCUG